rnacentral:rRNA from 1 species
GACAGAGGGUGCAAACGUUGUUCGGAAUUACUGGGCGUAAAGCGAGUGUAGGCGGUUUGGAAAGUCGGAUGUGAAAGCCCCGGGCUCAACCCGGGAAGUGCACUCGAUACUCCCCAGCUAGAGUAUCGGAGAGGUUGGCGGAAUUCUCGGUGUAGAGGUGAAAUUCGUAGAUAUCGAGAGGAACACCGGCGGCGAAGGCGGCCAACUGGACGAAUACUGACGCUGAGACUCGAAAGCGUGGGGAGCAAACAGG